rnacentral:rRNA from 1 species
AUACGAAGGGGGCAAGCGUUGUUCGGAAUAACUGGGCGUAAAGCGCACGUAGGCGGAAGGUUAAGUUAGAGGUGAAAUCCCAGGGCUCAACCCUGGAACUGCCUUUAAUACUGGCACUCUAGAGACUGAGGGAGUUGAGUGGAAUUCCGAGUGUAGAGGUGAAAUUCGUAGAUAUUCGGAGGAACACCAGUGGCGAAGGCGGCUCACUGGCUCGGUACUGACGCUGAGGUGCGAAAGCGUGGGGAGCAAACAGGAUUAGAAACCCUAGUAGUCC